GAGUAUAUAUUAUGUUAUUUUUUUUUUUUUUAUUUAUUUUUAAGGGAAAUAACUUGUUUUUAAGUAAUGUUUUAUGAAUUUUAUUUAUUAAUUAUAGUUAAUUGUACUGUAAGGGACUUAUUUUUUUUAUGUGUAAGUAUACAUUUAUGUAGUACCUUUUGUAUCAGGGUUUAUUAAAAUUAUUUAAUUAUAUUAAUUAUCCCGAAAGUAAAAGAUAUAGGAUUGUAUAGUUUUUUAUGUUUUAUAAUAAUUUUUAAUACAAUUUUAGGGAUUAUAUGUUAUUCAAUUUUAUAUAUCUGGUUCUUUAAUAAAUAAAUUUAAUUUAUGUUACUUAUUAGUUUUUUUAUAUUUUAAUUUGUAAAAAUUUAAGUUUCAGAGAUUGUUGGGGAUAAGCUUGACAUUAUUCUAUAAUUUUUUUCUUCAUUAAAUUUAGUAGGAUUAAUAAUGUCCAUCUUAAAUUUCGUUAUAGUUUUAUUUAAUUAUUUAUUUUAUUUAGUAUUUAUUUAGUUUUUUAUUAAAGUUAAUUAUUUAAUAUUAUUUUAUUUGUAAUAAUGAUAAAAUUAGUAGAUUAUUACUUUAGGUUCAGUAACUCGGCAAUUUUUACCCACGCCUGUUUAACAAAAACAUGUCUUAUAGAUAAUAAUUUUAAGUCGGGCCUGCUCAAUGAAUUUUUAAAUAGCCAUGGUAUCUUAACCAUGCAAAGGUAGCAUAAUCAUUUGUCUUUUAAUUGAAGGCUUGUAUGAAGGGUUUGACGAUGGGUAAACUUUCUUAAUCUAAAUUUAAUUAAAUUUAAUAUCUGGGUAAAAAGGCUUAGAUUUAGUUUUGGGACGAGAAGACCCUAUAGAAUUUUAUUAUUAUUGGUUGAUUUUGUUAUUGUAUUAAUAAUAAUAACUUUUAAUAAUUUUGUUGGGGCGACAGUGGAAUUUCAUUAACUUCUAUUAUAAAUUUUUCAUUAAUUAGUGUUUUAUUGAUCCCUUAUUAUGGAUUAUAAGAUUAAAUUACCUUAGGGAUAACAGCGUAAUUAUUUUGGAGAGUUCUUAUCGAUGAAAUAGUUUGCGACCUCGAUGUUGGAUUAAAGUUAAUUAUUGGUGCAGAAAUUAAUAAAUUAGGUCUGUUCGACCUUUAAAUCUUUACAUGAUCUGAGUUCAGACCGGCGUGAGCCAGGUUGGUUUCUAUCUAUAAUUUUUUUAAAUAGUUUAGUACGAAAGGAUUUGCUAUUUUUAAUAUUUAAUUUUUCUUUGAUUUAUAUUA
rnacentral:rRNA from 1 species